CGGACGGGUGAGUAACGCGUGGGUAACCUGCCUUGUACUGGGGGACAACAGUUAGAAAUGACUGCUAAUACCGCAUAAGCGCACAGUAUCGCAUGAUACCGUGUGAAAAACUCCGGUGGUACAAGAUGGACCCGCGUCUGAUUAGCUAGUUGGUAAGGUAACGGCUUACCAAGGCGACGAUCAGUAGCCGACCUGAGAGGGUGACCGGCCACAUUGGGACUGAGACACGGCCCAG
rnacentral:rRNA from 1 species